rnacentral:rRNA from 1 species
UACGUAGGGGGCAAGCGUUGUCCGGAAUUAUUGGGCGUAAAGGGCGCGUAGGCGGUUCGUACAGUCAGACGUGAAAUUCCUGGGCUCAACCUGGGGGCUGCGUUUGAUACGUGCGGGCUUGAGUGCGGAAGAGGGUCGUGGAAUUCCCAGUGUAGAGGUGAAAUUCGUAGAUAUUGGGAAGAACACCGGUGGCGAAGGCGGCGACCUGGUCCGAUACUGACGCUGAGGCGCGAAAGCGUGGGGAGCAAACAGG